GGCGUGGUACCCAAGCGGUCUAAGGGGAUGGUCUGCAAAACCAUUAUGUCGUCGGUUCAAAUCCGACCCACGCCU
rnacentral:tRNA from 1 species